rnacentral:tRNA from 5 species
GGAGAGAUGGCUGAGCGGUUGAAAGCGGCGGUCUUGAAAACCGUUAGACCCGCAAGGGUCUCCUGGGUUCGAAUCCCAGUCUCUCCGCCA